rnacentral:rRNA from 1 species
GAUGAACGCUGGCGGCGUGCCUAACACAUGCAAGUCGAGCGGACCCUUCGGGGUGAGCGGCGGACGGGUGAGUAACGCGUGGGUAACCUGCCCUAUAAACACGGAUAACGUACCGAAAGGUACGCUAAUACGGGAUAAAGUUGUUGGAGGGCAUCUUCCAACAAUCAAAGCUCCGGCGGUAUAGGAUGGACCCGCGUCUGAUUAGCUAUUUGGUGAGGUAAUGGCUCACCAAGGCGACGAUCAGUAGCCGACCUGAGAGGGUGAUCGGCCACACUGGAACUGAGACACGGUCCAGACUCCUACGGGAGGCAGCAGUGGGGAAUAUUGCACAAUGGGCGAAAGCCUGAUGCAGCAACGCCGCGUGAGCGAUGAAGGUCUUCGGAUCGUAAAGCUCUGUCCUCAAGGAAGAUAAUGACGGUACUUGAGGAGGAAGCCCCGGCUAACUACGUGCCAGCCGCCGCAGUAA